GACGUAGGGCGCGAGCGUUGUCCGGAUUUAUUGGGCGUAAAGCGCACGUAGGCGGCUUUGUAAGUUAGAGGUGAAAGUCCGGGGCUCAACCUCGGAUCGGCCGUGGCGACUCGUGGGCUGGAGCACUGUAGAGGCGGGUGGAAUUCCGGGUGUAGCGGUGGAAUGCGUAGAGAUCCGGAAGAACACCAGUGGCGAAGGCGGCCCGCUGGGCAGUGGCUGACGCUGAGGCGCGACAGCGUGGGGAGCAAACAGG
rnacentral:rRNA from 1 species